ACACUACUGAGGAGUCCCACAAUAGGAUGAAAUGGCCGUCCAGUAC
rnacentral:hammerhead_ribozyme from 1 species